rnacentral:rRNA from 1 species
CAUGUAGGCGGUUAUUUAAGUGAUGUGUGAAAUACCUGGGCUUAACCUGGGGGUUGCAAGUCAUACUGGAUAACUUGAGUCUAGGAGAGGGAAGUAGAAUUUCCGAUGUAGCGGUGAAAUGCGUAGAGAUCGGAAAGAAUACCGGUGGCGAAGGCGGCUUCCUGGCUUAAGACUGACGCUGAGGUGCGAAAGCGUGGGUAGCGAACA